UGGGCCUCAGUUUCUUUGCCUAUAAAACGGGACGGUUGGAUUAAGGGCUUUGCCAGCUCUAAUGUUCCAUGACUAAGCACCUGGAGACUCCCCAGAUUCCAGAACUCUCUGGAAGCAAUGGCUGCUGAGGGGAAGCUGCUGCUUCUUGAUUCCUGAGGCUGAGAUUGAAGAUUUUCCACAGUCUGGUCCAAACCUGCCAGGAGUCACUGUUGUUGACUGUCUA
rnacentral:lncRNA from 1 species